AAUAAACUGGAUGAUUGACGUUAACUACAGAAGAAGCACCGGCUAACUCCGUGCCAGCAGCCGCGGUAAUACGGAGGGUGCGAGCGUUAAUCGGAAUAACUGGGCGUAAAAGGGCACGCAGGCGGUGACUUAAAGUGAGGUGUGAAAAGCCCCGGGCUUAAACCUGGGAAAUUGCAUUUCAUACUGGGUCGCUAGAGUACUUUAGGAGGGUAGAAUUCCACGUGUAGCGGUGAAAAUGCGUAGAGAUGUGGAGGAAUACCGAAGGCGAAGGCAGCCCUUGGGAAUGUACUGACGCUCAUGUGCGAAAGCGUGGGGAGCAAACAGGAUUAGAUACCCUGGUAG
rnacentral:rRNA from 1 species